CUGAUACAGCUGUCUAAGCAGAGAUGUCAAGUAGGCAGUUGGAUAAAUGGGUCUGAAAUUCAGAGGAGAAGUCCAAGCUGGAGAAAUUUGAGAGCCAUCAGCAUUGUAGUGGACACUGUCAGCACCUGCAUCUCUUCUCCAGAGAACUGUCCUGGGGCCACUGGAAAUGCUCUGCCCCCACCGACAGAGAACUAAAAACGCCUGGAAACGCACCUCCUCCAGGACCACCCUUGACCAAUGACUGACACGUGCAGGGUCGGGUGGAGAGGGGAAGCAGGACAGCCCAGCUCCCUUGUCUCAGGAAAACUCUGAGGCAUAACCGAAGCCCCACAGUUUCCCUACACCCAAGAUCGGGUUAAAACUACCCUCUACAAGAUGGCCUGAGAUUGUACUUCGCCUGGCUUUCUCCCUUCCCUGCUCUGUGUUUCCCUCUCCCUUACCAGUCCGGCCUGGGAGCACCUCCUUAGGAAGUCAUUAGCACGAAUCCUUGUCUCAGCGUCUGCUUCCGGGACCCCCCAACCUAAGACGAACACAUAGACGCUAUUUGAAGGCAUGAGUCUAGAAAAAAAAAGUACAAGGCAUUAUUAGAGUAAAAACUGGGGACUGGAUUAACAAGAAAGGCCUCUAGGAAGAAGAGGCCCCCAAGCUGAGCCUGGAAGAUAAAUAGAAUUAAACAGAGAGGGUGUGCAUUCCGGAUUGGGGCCAGGAAAAAGAUAUUUUCUUCAAACUCAAGCCCUGAAUGAUGUGAAAGCUGUGCUCUAGCCACAAGAACCGUUCCAGCAAGACCACGUGUGCUUUGCCCUCCCAGGCCGUUUUUUCUGAAUGUGGACUUUGUCCUUGUCUGAAGUUCUCCACCUGGAUGCCCUGUGCUCAUCUCUCAAGAUUCAGUUAAUGCCACUUGCUCUUUGAAGCUUUCGCUGACUGGAGGAAACCUUAGAUGCUCCCACCGCCCUGUGCCCUGUGCAUUCCUGGCUCAUGAUAGAGCUGUGCUUUAUGAAGACAACGCCAUCAGCAGAGUGUGUAAGAGGCGAAAGUGGGGAGAGACUGGAGGCAAAGAGGCCAGGUCACAGCCCUGUGUCAAAUGUCACCAGACAAUAUGAUUGUAACAAUGUCGCAGGCUUCAGGGAACUGUUUCAUAAGAAAUCUCCUAUGUGGUCGUGGAGCAAGGAACUUGUGGCUUCUUCUCCUCCUACCGUGUCUGCAUCGGUACCAGACAGAGUGUCACCUAUUGUGUCAUUUGAACUCCCUCAACAUCAUCUAUGGAUCCCUGGUGACACCGCUGUGAUGUGAGAUGAAGCGGGUUCAAGAGCAGAAGAAAAGACAGUAUUAUGAAGAGAAGUUACAGUGUCAAGAAGCUGACUCUAGAAUGUGAGGUGGAAAAUCAGGGACUUCAGAGUCAACAGGGCUGGGUUUAAACAUCAGCUUUACUGCUUACGAACAUUUGACCUUAAAUAACUUACUUAACCUCUAUGAGCCUUAGUUUCUGAAUCUAUGGAACAAGGACUAUAAUACAUGCCUCAUGAGACUAUCGAAAGGAUUAAAUGAGAUGAUACACCUGUAACGCUAACUGAAGCCACAAUCCAUGUCGUCCAGUUCCAGAGGAGGGCCAGAGACAAGGAAACAUGGAAAUCUGUAGCCUCAACGUCAUGGAAAAGCAAUUCCAAUUUUAUUCAAGUUUCU
rnacentral:lncRNA from 1 species